rnacentral:rRNA from 1 species
UACAGAGGAGCCAAGCGUUGUCCGGAUUGACUGGGCGUAAAGCGCACGCAGGCGGACGCGCGCGUGGGGUGUGAAAUCUGGCCGCUUAACGGCCAGGCGCCAUCCCAUAAGGCGCGUCUGGAGCCUUGCAGAGGUCGAUGGAAUUGCCGGUGUAGUGGUGAAAUGCGUAGAGAUCGGCAGGAACACCCAGGGGGAAACCAGUCGACUGGGCAAGUGCUGACGCUGAGGUGCGAGAGCGUGGGGAGCGAACCGG